rnacentral:rRNA from 1 species
UGCGCCUUGCCAGCCCGCUCAGAAACUUAAAGGAAUUGACGGGGGCCCGCACAAGCGGAGGAGCAUGUGGUUUAAUUCGAUGAUACGCGAGGAACCUUACCUGGGCUCGAACGUAAGAUGACUGUAGGUGAAAGCUUACAUCUCUUCGGAGCAUUUUACGAGGUGCUGCAUGGUUGUCGUCAGCUCGUGCCGUGAGGUGUCGGGUUAAGUCCCAUAACGAGCGCAACCCCUACCUUUAGUUGCCAUCAGGUUAAGCUGGGGACUCUAAAGGAACUGCCUACGCAAGUAGUGAGGAAGGCGGGGAUGACGUCAAAUCAGCACGGCCCUUACGUCCAGGGCUACACACGUGCUACAAUGGCCGAUACAGAGGGCAGCUACCUGGUGACAGGAUGCAAAUCUCCAAAGUCGGUCUCAGUUCGGAUCGGAGUCUGCAACCCGACUCCGUGAAGUUGGAUUCGCUAGUAAUCGUGGAUCAGCAUGCCACGGUGAAUACGUUCCCGGGCCUU